CAAGCGGAACCCCUAAUCACCCCAUGCAGGCCUCUCAACGCACUGUCCGGGGAGGCCGAGAAGGCUGGGCCUGGCUCAGGACCACUUCUGAGGCAGUAAAACUCUGAAGAAAAUGCUGUCAUGUGUUCCAGUCUGCGGAAGCCCACCAAGCAGCAGCAAGACUUUACCACUACCACGGCCUGAGGCCUCACAGACAGGGAAACUCAGGUUCAGAGAGGAAGACAGACCGGUCCGGCCUCGCCGGCUCUAACUCCUGGGCUCUUUUCACUGCUCUUCUGAGAACAUUCUAGCCUCCCACAGUUGGGACCUGCUUGUCUUAGCAGUGGCUUAAAAGGCUGCACUUGCCCCUUCUGCAUUUCUAUUUCGAGCCAGCGGGCACUUCCUAAAGCCUCCCAGAGCACCCUUCAGGGGUUGCACAUUGGACCCACAUGGAUGUGAAGUGAGUCUCCUUUUCUACAGGUAAAAAGAAAACAGUAAUUUGAUUGGCAAGAAGUCUUUUGGCCGUGAGGUUUCCACUGAGCAGAUGACAGCAUUUCAGCUUAGAUAAGUGAGGCUUUUUUGGUACUGCUGAGAAGGCUGAGGCUUUUUUUCUUUUUUUAGACGGAGUUUUGGUCUCAUUGCCCAGGCUGGAGUGCAAUGGCACGAUCUUGGCUCACAGAAACCUCCGCAUCCUGGGUUCAAGAAAAGUCUCCUGCCUCAGCCUCCAGAGUAGCU
rnacentral:lncRNA from 10 species